rnacentral:rRNA from 1 species
CACCGCGGUUAUACGAGAGGCCCAAGUUGAUAGAUAUCGGCGUAAAGAGUGGUUAAAAAAUAAUAAAACUAAAGACAAACACCUUCAAAGCUGUUAUACGCAACUGAAAGCAGGAAAAACUCCCACGAAAGUGGCUUUAAAACCAUGAACCCACGAAAACUGGGACA